rnacentral:rRNA from 1 species
UGCCAGACUCCUACGGGAGGCAGCAGUGAGGAAUAUUGGUCAAUGGGCGGAAGCCUGAACCAGCCAAGUCGCGUGAGGGAAGAAGGCCCUGCGGGUCGCAGACCUCUUUGGACGGGGAGCAAGGCCGCCGACGUGUCGGCGGAAGGAGAGUACCCGUAGAACAAGCAUCGGCUAACUCCGUGCCAGCAGCCGCGGUAAUACGGAGGAUGCGAGCGUUAUCCGGAUUUAUUGGGUUUAAAGGGUGCGUAGGUGGUUAAUUAAGUCAGCGGUGAAAGUUUGUGGCUCAACCAUAAAAUUGCCGUUGAAACUGGUUGACUUGAGUAUAUUUGAGGUAGGCGGAAUGCGUGGUGUAGCGGUGAAAUGCAUAGAUAUCACGCAGAACUCCGAUUGCGAAGGCAGCUUACUAAACUAUAACUGACACUGAAGCACGAAAGCGUGGGGAUCAAACGGGAUUAGAUACCCGGGUACA